GCACCUGUAGCUCAGUGGUUAGGGUGCCAGCCACAUGCACUGGGGCUUGUGGGUUCGAACCCAGCCAGGGCCA
rnacentral:tRNA from 1 species